rnacentral:rRNA from 1 species
AUGAAUGGGAUUUUCUGGAACUGCAGAGGGGCAGGUAAAAAAGGGAUGAUCACCUGCUUCUCUGAUCUGAUUAAGGAUCAUUCCCUAGACUUUUUGUGUCUGCAGGAGACCAUGAAAAGGAAAAUUUCCCCUAGUUUUUUUAGAAAUAUUGAUCCUUACAGUACUUUUGACUGGAAUUGGAUCCCUUCUAUUGGAAAGGCUGGGGGCUUGCUUUGUGGGGUCAAGAAGGAGAAACUCGAGGUUGUCUCUUGGUCCCUAGGAAAUUUAUUCUCCAGGUUACUGUUUUCGACGUAG